rnacentral:rRNA from 1 species
UACGGGGGGGGUAAGCGUUGUUCGGAAUUACUGGGCGUAAAGGGCUCGUAGGCGGCCAACUAAGUCAUACGUGAAAUCCCUCAGCUUAACUGGGGAACUGCGUGUGAUACUGGAUGGCUUGGAUUUGGGAGAGGGAUGCGGAAUUCCAGGUGUAGCGGUGAAAUGCGUAGAUAUCUGGAGGAACACCGGUGGCGAAGGCGGCAUCCUGGACCGGUGCUGACGCUGAGGAGCGAAAGCGUGGGGAGCGAUCCGG